AUGAAGCGAGUAUUCAAAUGGAAGAAAAAUUCAUAUGAUGGGCUGAUUGAUCCUGUUCGCAGCAACAUCUGGGACGAGUCAAACCUGUCUGCUAUAAAAGAAAUCAUGGAGAACUCUUUCAUUUUCAGAAUUUGGAUGUUCAAUCUCUUAGGUUCUGCUCUGGGUGACUCGGUCCAGUCCAGGGAGCCUGAAGUUUCUAAAUCAGAAGGAAACACUGUGUCGCUCAGUUGUUCUUAUGAUACCAGCUCUAGUGAUGUCUAUCUGUACUGGUACCGGCAGUAUCCGCACCAAGCCCCGCAGUACAUUCUCUGGAGAGGAGCGAAGUCCUACCGAGAUCUCAGUGACACCGCAGCUUUCGCCCAGAAGAGGUUUUCUUCCCAGGCUGAUGACAGCUCGACAGUUCUGAACAUCACAGCCCUGGAGCUGGCAGACACAGCGGUGUAUCUCUGCGCCCUGCAGAAGGCACAGUGA